CUCAUUUUAUCCUUAUUUGAAAAUAGUAAAUUUUUAAAUGGAAAACAACUAUACAUUUGUAUUUGUGAUAUAUGGCAUCACAACUAAUAUGCAGGUUUUACUUCUUAUAAUGUUAUGUGCAGGUUUUACUUCUUAUAAUGUGAUGUGCAGGUUUUACUUCUUAUAAUGUGAUGUGCAGGUUUUACUUCUUAUAAUGUUAUGUGCAGGUUUUACUUCUUAUAAUGUUAUGUGCAGGUUUUACUUCUUAUAAUGUUAUGUAGAUAUAAGAAGAUGUGGUAUGAGUGCCAAUGAGACAACUCUCCAUCCAAGUCAAAAUUUAUAAAAGUAAACCAUUAUAGGUCAAAGUACGGUCUUCAACACGGAACCUUGGCUCACACGGAACAGUAAGCUAUAAAGGGCCCCAAAAAAUUACUAGUGUAAAGCCAUUCAAACGGGAAAACCAAUGGUCUAAUCUAUAUAAAAAACGAGAAACACUUAUGAACCACAUCGACAGUGCAGGUUUUACU